GUACAAGUCACCACCACCUCCGACGCCAAUUUACAAGUCACCACCACCACCCAAGGAGCCAUACUACCCUCCACACACCCUAACCUACAAGUCACCAUCUCCACCAACUCCUGUUUACAAGUCUCCACCGCCACCAACUUCGGUUUACAAUUCUCCACCACCACCAAGGGAGACUUACUACCCUCUCCACACUCCAUUGUACAAGUCGCCACCACCUCCGACACUAAUUUACAAGUCACCACCAUCACCAAAGGAGCCAUACUACCCUCCACACACCCCAACCUACAAGUCUCCACCUCCACUAACUCUCAUUUACAAGUCGCCACCACCACCAAAUGAGCCAUACUACCCCCCACACACUCCAGUUUACAAGUCGCCACCUCUACCGACUCCAGUUUAUAAGUCUCCACAUCCACCAACUCCUGUUUACAAGUCGCCACCACCACCUAAGGAGCCAUACUACCCUCCACGCACCCCAAUCUAUCAGUCACCACCUCCACCAACUCCCAUUUACAAUUCACCACCUCCACCAACUCUAGUCUAUAAGUCACCACCACCACCCAAAGAGCCAUACUACCCUCCACACACCCCAGUGUACAAGUCGCCACCUCCACCAACUCUUAUUUACAAGUCACCACCACCACCAAAUGAGCCAUACUAUCCUCCACACACUCCAGUCUACAAGCCGCCACCUCCACCAACUCCCGUUUACAAGUCACCACCACCACCCAAGGAGCCAUACUACCCUCCACAUACCCCAACCUACAAGUCAGCACCUCCACCAACUCCAGUCUACAAGUCGCCACCACCACCCAAGGAGCUAGGCUACCCUUCACACACCCCGACCUACAAAUCGCCACCACCACCCAAGGAGCCAUACUACCCUCCACAUACCCCAACCUACAAGUCACUACCUCCACCAAGUCCCGUUUAUAACUCUCCACUACCACCAACUCCAGUCUACAAGUCUCCACCACCACCCCAUUAUCUUUACACCUCUCCCCCUCCUCCCUACCAUUACUAAGAAGAUAUUUCAUUAUAUCUGAGGUAAUAAAACCAAACUAUAACUUUUAAUUAUGAUAUGUCUAUAGAAGUUGCACAAUUUCCUCGUACAAAUCAUUAAUAUAGACCUAUGCUGUCUACAUCUUAUUUGGUUUAGGUUCUAUUAUAUGUUCUCAUUCACAAUAUCAUAUUCUUAUGCAGGAAAGCAGAAUGUUGAGCUACAAGAAAAUAAGCCCACACAGGAGGCAAAGUACUUUUGUAGCUUCAUUUUGUAUAAGUUAUUGUUUGUACCCUAUAUUAUAUUUAUAUUUUACUUCUAUUUAUUUGUGUGUGUUUGUUCGAUCUCCUUGCAAAAUGCGGAGAUUAUGAGAUGUAUAAAAUAAGUUAUUACUAUACGGUUUUAUGUUUUCCCCUCUCUCUACACUUUCUUUUGGUCCUUUUUCUUAUUUUGUCAUCCUUAUAUUGAGUUUUUUAUAAGUUGACGAGGCUCUCAUCAAUUACAUUAAAUCAGUUGCUAUAAAAAAUGUGGGUUUUAUUCGUCAAUAAAUUUAAUGAUAAGAUACAAUAAAAUCUAAGUUACAAUCAAUCGAGAAUAUUAGUACCUCCAAUCUAAGUAACAAUUUAUCGGGAAUAUUAGUAGCUUCAAUUAGUUCUUGAAUUGACCAUCGUGAGGAGAAAAAUUACAAAAUUACAUUUUUUUAUAUAAAAUUUUAUGAAGGAAAAAGUAAAUGCACCCACACAAAUUAUUGAAUUAAUAUUAUUACUUGUCCUAUUUCUCUUAUCUUGAUUAUUAGUUUUCAGGGAUGAAAAUUUAAUUGUUAGACCUUUCACUUUUUAAAAAAAAAAAAGAAUGAACAACCAACUGAUUUUGGUAUCUGAUUGUGGUUGUUCAAGGCAUAUUAUAACGAUUAAAUUUUAGUUUUUGAAAAAUAAUAAUCAAGAAAAGAAAAAUAUCAAUAAAUAAUAAUAUUUAGUUUUAUUUAUUUGUGCAGGAUUUAACAAUCUUUAGAAAAUUUUAUACUAAAAUGUGUAUUUUUUGUUUUUUUUCCUCUCCCUGACUAUCAACUCAAAAGUUUUAUUUUGUACCUGAAUUGAUGAAAUACUUGUUGGAAGUUUACCACGAAUGUAGAAUCAAGUUUUGAUCACAUUCGAGGAGGUAUAAAAUGACUCACCACUUGGAGGUAAAUACUCUUUUGUAUGCAGAAGACUGUCAAAUCACUAUUAAAUACUUUUUUAUACAAGCAUUAGCUAGGGUUUGAAAUAUUUGGUCUCCUUGCCAUUCUAGCCGACUUUGGGCUUGAGAAACAUGAGUUGGGCUGGGCUAGACUUGUAAGCUUAACGGACUAACCUAAAUUUAAUUAAACUUCAUUUAAAUCAUAAAACUUCCAACUUUAUUAUAAACAAAAAAAAAUUUGAACAAAAAAAAAAGGAACAAAAUAGUACAUAAGAUCUCGAUCGUUGGACAAACAUUUGUCUAUAAUAAAUAUGUCGGCGAUAACUAUUGACUAGGUCAAUGUAGCUAGGGUUUGUACUUGUUUAUACUAUCUCUUGGGACGAUUAAAAAUAUUAGUUUAGCUUAACUAAUGGAAUCUUAUAUGGAGUUUAGUAAUUUUACUUUUGUCGGUGAUUAAGUUAUACAAAUGAUUAAUUAUUUUUCUAAUUAAAAAGUCAAAGUCAUUAAUGGAUGAACCAGGAAUCGUCCAUGUAUUUGAAUACUCUCUCCGUCCUCUUUUAGUUGUCAUGCAGUCAUUGUUUUCUUUUUUAGAAUCAAAUAAUAAGAACUGUGACUAACAUUUUAGGGUUUAUUUUUUGGGAAAAAGGACAAAUAUAUCCCCGAACUAUCGUAAAUGGUAUGCAUAUACCUUUCGUUAUACUUUUAGUACAUCAGUGCCCUUACCGUCCAAAUUUUAGAGAGUAUAUAUCAUUUAUACUAACGAUAGUAUAUGUGUCUUAAUCCUAUGGACCCGAUAUUUAUUAAUUUUUUUGUCAAAAUUUAAAAGCCCAAUUUUUAAAACCCACCCAAAUACGUAAUACUCAGCCCAAAAAAAGAACUCAAAAUCCCCAAAUCAAUUCACUCCCCAAACCUAUUUUCUUCUCCUUCUUCUCUGAUGUUUGUCGGUCCAGCAAAGAAUCAAAUUAACUUGAUGUAUUUUGUAUUUGGUAUCUUAUUUAAAACUCUUAAAAAUAAGUUCUAUCUUGGAUAUGUUAAGUAGGAGCCUAUUUGAAUACAACUUAUGUCUUUAUGGAAUUAUAAUCUCAUAAUAGAUGAAAAAUCAUGAUAGCACCCCAAAAUCAAAGCUCGUUUGCGCCUCAGUCGUGACUGGUAAGCUUGAUUUAGAGUUUUGAGGAAAAGAGAAGCUCAAUUGUCAAGUGAGAACCUGAUUUUUUUAUUUCAAAAACAAUAUACAGUUCUCAUGGAGGAAAUAUGGAUGAAGUAAUUUACUUGUCUAUGAUAUUUCUUCUUUCCAAGUAAAAGUAUUGUUUUGCUAUUUUCUACUGAAAGAUUUCUAUUUCAGAUGAAUUAAUUCUCUGUUACGCUAAAGAUUGGAGAAGAUCGAAGAAGAUGGAGAAGAAACUAGGGUUUUGGGAGUGAAUUGAUUUGGGGGUUUUGGUUUUUGGUUUUGGGUGGGGUUUUUUUAAUUAAUUCGGGUGGGUUUUUAAAUUUUUGGUAGAAAUUUAAUAAAUUCCGAAUCAAUGGAUAGGAUUAAGACACGUGUGUCACUGUUAGUAUAAAGGGUAUAUUCGCUCUAAAAUUUGGACGUUAAGGACACUAAUGUACCAAAAUAUCAAAUUAAUAUAAUUUAAUUUAAUUUUAAAAAAUUAAUUAAAUUAACUUUUGAAAAGCGCAACAUAACAACUGAAACGGAAUGGAAGAAGUAGUAUGUAUCUUCUUCUCUUCUUCUUUUAUUAUAAACAUUUAACUAAUGGAAAAAGAGGCACGUAUUUAGGUUGUUAGGUAGAGAAAAGAUUAAAAAAUAAAUAUAAAAGAGGAAGUAAAUGAGUAUAAUAAUUUGAGAAAAUGAAAGAAGGCAAUGUAAAAAAUAGGUGCAAAUCAACAAUGUUAAUUAUUUAUUCAAAGUUUAAAAACACAAAAGUGAAAACUUUUGUAAAAAGCCUUGAACCAAUUCGAUUCAUUUAAUUCUAUUUCUUAAGAUACUCCGUAUUUUCAAAUUUUAAAGAGGACUACAAAAAUAACUAUGUAUUCCGACAUUUAAAACUAACAUAAGUGUUAUUAGAAUGAGCCUAUCUAACACGUAUUUGAAUUAAUCAUGCUCAAAUACUGAUACUAAACAAUGGAUAAACUAUGCAAUGGAGUCUUAAACUAUAAUUAUAUAUUAAGUAAUUAAAUCAAAUCAUGUAAUUUAAUUAAUUAUACUACCAAAAUAUUAACUUCAAUGACACGAAGUAACAUAAUGUACCUUUAAAGUUUCACAAAAUUCAAUUAGGUUUUGAGUACAUUGAAGUACCUAAGUCAAAACCUUUCCAAAAACUCUCAAUAAAGUCUAAAAUAAAGUACUCCCUCCGUCCUUAAUUACUUGUCCACUUUUUCUUUUAUAGUUAUUCCUAAUUACUUGUCCAUUUUGACAAAUUAAGAUUGGACAAAAAAUUUUUACCUAUUAUACCCUCAAUUAAAUGAUUAAUUACUUUGAAAAAUGUAGAAUUUUUCAUCCACUUCAUAAUUGAUAGGGGUAAAAUGGUAAACUCACUAUGUCAUUAAUUGUUUUCUUAAUAAGUUUGCCAAUUCAAAAGUGGACAAAUAAUUAGGGACGAGUAAUUUUUUAUUUCUAUCAUGACCUGUAUUCUACCUCUUUGUGUUCCGAUGAUGAUUAACUAAGAUACAAAAAAAUUCAUAGAUAUUGUAUUUAAUCAUAUAAAUUUUUCAAUAUUGAGCUACAUAAUCCGUUGAAUUUUUUGCCCUCUAUUCCCACCUAAAACUAAAAAGAAAGAACAACAUUAAUUGCUUUAUUUGGUAAUGAAAGUGGGUCACAUUUUUCUCUAGAUCAUUAAACUAUUUAACAUUACAAUAAUCUAUCAUUUGUCUUCAUAUGAUAUAUAUGUAUUAUUGUACUCCCACCGUUUCAAAAAGAGUGAUCUGGUUUGACUUGACAUUGAGUUUUAGAAAAUAAAGAAGACUUUUAAAUCUUGUGGUCCUAAAUUAAAGUUAUGUCAAAUGUAUUAAAUUGUCCUUCAAUCUUGUGGCUUUAAACAUGUCACGUGAAAAGCUGAAAUUAAAAUGUUACCAAAAAAAGAAAUAGGUCAUUCUUUUUUACAUAGACUAAAAUGGAAAGGAGGUCAUUUUUUUUAAAAUAGAGGGAGUAUUAAAUUUCUCUAAAUUUCUAAACUAUUUAAGCACUUAGGUAAUUAAAGGUUAGUUCAUCAAUCAGAAUCCACAAAAUAAUUACUCCUUUCGUUUCAUAUUAGUUGAUCAUCUUACUAAAAAUAGCUUUCACACAUUAGUUGUCCACCUUACUAAAUCAAGAAAGCAAUAAUUAUUUUUUUUCCUAUAUUAUCCUUGCAAUUAAUUCCUUUUGAAAGUGUUCACAUUUAUUUGUAAAAUUUCCAAGAAGUUUUCUAGAGGUAAAUUAAUAAAAUUAUCUAGUUAAUAAAAAUGAUCGACUAAUAUAGGACGGGGAGUAAUAAAAUUCUUCAAAUAUUUAGUGUAACAAAAAAAAAGAAAAAAAAAAGCAGUGUACACUGAUUUUUGUAGCUAAAAAUCGUGCGAAGUUGAGGGAUGCACGCAUUUUUUUCAAAGAUUGUGUAUGCAUGUAAUGUAAAAGCUCGGAAGAAAAAGAAGACUUUGUAGCUCUUUGAAUUAUUGCAUCACAAGAUGUAAAGAAAAUAGUAUGGUUGUCUUAAUUGUUUAUACAUUUUUUCUUAGCUUGCAGUCUCUAUCCAAUAAAAUAAAGUCAAAUUGAUCCAACAACAUGACAAAACCAAUUAUCAAAAUGCAUAAAAACUACUUAACAUUUUACCUUACAUUUAUGUAAUCUUGGUAAGGGUAAUUGUCGAAAUGAAAGCUAUAUAAAGGGGUUUGAGUGAAGCUUAAGAGCACAACAACUUCUCUUCUUUGUUUCAAAUAUGGGGAAAAUGGCCUCUCUAGUUGCUACUCUUUUUAGUGGUUUUAGUGUCACUUAGCUUAGCUUCCGAAAGCUCAGCAAACUAUCAAUACUCAUCUCCCCCACCACCAAAGAAGCCAUACCACCCUUCACCAACACCUUAUCAUCCCGCACCAGUUUACAAAUCACCACCACCACCAACUCCAGUUUACAAGUCACCACCACCACCCAAGGAGCCAUACUAUCCUCCACACACACCAGUUUACAAGUCUCCACCUCUCCCAACUCCGGUUUACAAGUCACCACCACCACCGGUGAAGCCAUACCAUCCUGCACCAGUUUAUAAGUCACCACCACCUCCAACACAUGUUUACAAGUCACCACCACCACCAGUGAAGACAUACCAUCCUGCACCAGUAUACAAGUCUCCACCACCCNNNNNNNNNNNNNNNNNNNNNNNNNNNNNNNNNNNNNNNNNNNNNNNNNNNNNNNNNNNNNNNNNNNNNNNNNNNNNNNNNNNNNNNNNNNNNNNNNNNNNUCAACUCCCAUUUACAAAUCACCACCACCAGUGAAGCCAUACCAUCCUGCACCAGUAUACAAGUCUCCACCACCCUCAACUCCCAUUUACAAAUCACCACCACCAGUGAAGCCAUACCAUCCUGCACCAGUAUACAAGUCUCCACCACCCCCAACUCCCGUUUACAAUUCCCCACCACCACCAGUGAAGCCAUAUCAUCCUUCACCAACACCACACCAUCCUACACCAGUAUACAAAUCUCCACCACCCCACUAUAUUUACUCCUCUCCCCCUCCUCCCCACCAUUACUAGAAGUGACUUCAUUAUCUAUGAGGUAAUUAAUAUAAACUUAAACUUUCAAAAUCAUAUGACUAAAAUGCAAUGCAAUAAUAAGCUGCACAAUUUCUUCAUGCAAAACAUCAAUAUAAAAACUUAUGUUGUCUACUUCUUAUUUGGUUAUCUUCUACUAUAUAUGUUCUCAUUCACAAUACUAUAUUCUUAUGCAGGAAAAGCAAAUGUUGAGCUGAAAGGAAGGCAUUUUCUAUUUUCUAUAGGCAAUGAUAAAAGAAGAAAAUUAAAUUAUAGUAAACAAUAAGCCCCACAGAAGGCGAAGUUCUUUUGUAGCUUCAUGUUAUCUAAGUUAGUGAUAUUGUUUUUGUACUCUAUUUUUAUAUUUUACUAAUUUUAUGUAUUUCUGUAUGUUUGUUCGAUCUUCUUGCUAAAUGCGGAGAUUAUGAGAUGAAUAAAAUAAGUUAUUACUAUAUGUUUUACCCUUCUCCGUUGCAUUUAAACACUAUAUGUCGCAAUAAUUAAUUUAUUGAGAUAUAUAAAAUAUCUGAAGAUUUGUGAUUUAAAAGAAUAAUUUUGAAUCAUUGAAAUAGUAAUAGGCCCAUAUAAAGUGGAGCUUAUAAUUUAGAAUAUAAGUUUAAGGUGAUGCCAAUCUGAUCUAAUCAAUUAAAAGCCCAAUUUUAGCAUGGGAAGGGUAGUAACAUGUGAUUCUAUUACUUAUGUUUUAUAUUGUAUUGGAUUAUAUUAUUUUGAUUUUGGAUUUUUAUUUUUUUGUCAUUUCAUAAUAUUAUAUCAAUAUUUUUUUCUUAAAAAUUUAUAUAAUAUUAAAAAAGAAAUAGAAUACAGAGUACAAUUAUUAUAAAAACAAAAAAUUAGAAUAAAAGAUAUAAAAUAUAAUUAUUGAAUAACAAAUAAAGAUAAAUAAGAAAAAAAAAUAACAACGAAAUUAGACCACAUUGAAACAUUUCAUCGUCAAAUAUUAUUUUAACAAUACAAUAAAAUUUAAAUGCUAAUUAAAAUAAACACUUAUAUUUAAGUAAGAAUACGAUAUAAUAAAAUAUAGCAUGAAACAACUUUCCAAACAUCCAUUCAUAUUAAUGAUUCCCUCUGUCCAAUUUUACUUGCUUACUAAUUAAAAAUGAAUGUUUAGCUUUACUUAUUUAGUUUAGAAAAUCAAGAAAUAAUCUAUACUUAAUUUCUACUUUCACUUAAAUAAUAAUAUAAUAAAGUUGAUACUUUAUUUAUUGUUUUUAAGGAAUAUGUGUCACGACCCAAAGCGUCGUAAUUGGCACCCACACUAACUCUCUGGUGGGAGAACCACUAUUAUAACCCAAACCAAACAACUAACCAAAAACUAAGGCAUUUAAAUCAAACACUAAGGAAAUAAAAAUAGAGUUCCCAUAAACUCUAACAAAAGUCUAACAAUGCGGAAGAAUAACCUAAAACUUGAAAGUCAAUGUACCAAAACAUUCUAACAAUCAAUCAAGUCUAAACAAGAAAGGGAUAGAACCCCCAACUAAUUAACUAACCAACUAGCUAAAACAAAGGUCUAAGUCCGGAAAUAGUGGACAUAGACGAAAGAGAAUUUCAUGGCAGGCCGAAAGAAUUGGCUCACCCUUGAAUUUGAACGACGACUUUUGAUCUUCUAAGCGAGGUCUGUCAAUAGCCGCUUAAAGAUGCCCUGUACUCAACAAAAAUAAGAGCAAGUGCAGAAUCAGUACACAACCACAGUGUACUGGUAGGAUCACACGGCUAUCCCACUAGUGCAACAUAAACAAGUCAAGACAAUAUUAUAAUCACAUGCAUACAUAUCAACAUAUACAAUAUCAUCAACAUUUACGAAUAAUGAACAACUUCACAUUUUAUGUCAAACAGUUAGCAUGCCGUAACGUGGCAACUGAUCCCAUAUUUAUGCCGGAACGUGGCAACCGAUCCCAUAUUUAUGUUGGAAUGUGGCAACCGAUCCAAGUUAGUUAUGUCGGAACGUGGCAACCGAUCCAUGCACAACCACAAUCACAAUCACAAGUAUAUCAUCAAGAUCAUACAUUUAAGUCAUGAUUUCAUGGCAUACAUCAAUUAUCUAUCUCUUUUACAACAAGUGUGAUCAAUAUUGCAACAUUCAUAUAUAUACAAGUAUCAUAAUGAAGCAAGAACAAGCAUACAUCACACAAUCAUAGAAUCGCAACCAUCACCUACCUUGAAAUAAGCUUGAAACCUUAAGAAACUUGAUCCUUCCCUUUUCGGAUUCGUUCCGCUUGUUCUUGGUCAACAAACAAUCAAUAUAAUACAUGAAUCAAUAAACAAUCAUUAAUUACCUCGAUUACUAACAAUUCUAUGAACCCUAGAUCAGACACAUGAUCCCAAUUAACCAAUUUAGGGUUGUUUCCAGCAUAGAAUCUAAAACAAAACCCUCCCCCAUCAAUAUUCACCCAUUGUAUUAUGUUCUACGGAUCGAAAAACGGAUUUGGAGAGUGAAAAGCUUAUCUUUAGCCUUAAGAAUGGUGAAAAAUGAGUAUGAGUCGCCUGGGGGGUCGUUCCUUAGCUCUAAAAGUCAAAAAGUGCAUAAUGAGGUCGUUUAGGGAUUUAUUAACGACUUUAAUUUGUGUCGGGCCCGCCACAAUGGCCACCACCCCGCUACAGCGGGCGCCAGAGCGGUAAAACCCAGCGCCAAAGUGGCAUUCUCAAACCAGUGAGCUAUUUAAAGAAUUCCAAAAUUCUCAUUUCACAACACACCUCUAACCCACGACGCUCAGUAAAUACCCUUUACACUAAGAUCGAUUCUGGGAGUUCUACUCUCCCGAAUUCAAUUUCGUAAAGUCGUACGAAUUUCUUAACGAGUUAUCUAACUACUCAUGUAAUCAAAAUCAUAAAUGAUUCACACGAUUGUUACCAGAUUUCCCUACACCUCAAUGACUCCGAUUUCGUCCAAAUCUGGACAAGGUUGGGAAAAUCUAAAUACUACGAAAAAGUUUUCCGGCCCCAAAUUUUCCCCCGUUGACUUUUCUAUAACGACGAAAUAGAUCGUUACAAUAUGUUAAAUAAACAGGACAAGUAAAAUAUACGGAUGGAUCCUUGGGUGUAGGAAGCGUUUCUUCCGAAUAAGGUCCUGUGCGGCACAAAUUCGAAAUAAUCGAACUACAAAAUAGAUACAGAGCACUAGGUGUGAAACAAAAAAAAACGGAGGGAGUAUUAUUUAUAUUAUAUUUAUAUUAAUAAAUAAAAAAGUUACUCCCUAGACGUCAACGUAUGCUAGAUUGGCCAAUAGAUUAAGAAAAUAAUAUUAUCAAAAAUGUCAAUAGUAAUGUGGCAAAAAAUUAAUGGUGAAAAGGAGAGGGUAACUGCAUGCUGUCAUAUAUAUCUUUUAAUUUAUUUAUUUUUUAAAAAUAAAACAACUGCUUGCUGUCAUACAACUUUGCAAAAAUGAUUGCUAAAAUUAAAUAUGAUUAGUAUUUAUAUAUAGUCAAAUUGGUACUUCUUUGUUCAAUUUAGAUAGCACGUUGAAAAUUUAAGAUUUAUAUUUUUAAUUUUUAAUAGUAAAUUCAGACAUAAAAAUCUUAAAUUUAAAAAUAUAUAUUAAAUAUUUAAUAAAUAUUUUUCAAAUGACUCUCAAAAUUUCGAUUGUGUUACAUUAUUAAUUGAAACAUAUACGGAUUAGGGAGUAAGUAACUAGAGUCCAGAAUGUUACUUUUUUUCUUACAAUGUUAGCUUUAAUUCUAACUUUUCAUUUAAAAUUGUAAAAUUUAAAAUAUUUUAAUUUAUAUUUUACCUACUCUUAUUUUUAUUUAACACUAUAAAAUUUAAAAUUCAUCUUUACUAUCUAAAAUCAAAAUCGAACAAAUUGUAAUUGAGUGGAUUAACAAAUACUAGUUUAGAGAACGCCCACGAUAUUAAUAAAGUUGGUCCUCUUUGGCACCCCAAAAAGAUAACAACACUAUGAUGGAAUUUGGAGUAGAAUUGUCAAUGCAUUAAUUUUAUGUGAAUUUAGUAAUUAAUUUUAAUAUCUUCGAAAUAAUUUUAAAUAUCUAAAAACUAGAAACAAAAAUUUACUACAAAUUACUAUUUUAUAGUAUGACUAAUAAUGCAAGUCUUUGAAAUAAUAGACUUAAAGUCUUUUGAUGAAAUUUUUAUUUGUCAAAAGAAAUAUUCAAUUAAGAUACUUGUGAAUUUCCAUAUGGAAAAUCAAAAUGCUACAAGCACAUCAAUGAAUAUAAAGGAGAAAUUAGUAAGGAGGAUGAAGUUGAUAAAAUUGAAAUUUCCUCCCUAUCUUACCCCUAAUAUAUAUAUAUAUAUAUAUAUAUAUAUUAUUAUAUAUAUAUAUAUAUAUAUAUAUAUAUAUAUAUAUAUAUAUAUAUAUAUAUAUAUAUAUAUAUAUAUAUAUAUAUAUAUAUAUAUAUAUAUAUAUAUAUAUAUAUAUAUAUAUAUAUAUAUAUAUAUAUAUAUAUAUAUAUAUAUAUAUAUAUAUAUAUAUAUAUAUAUAUAUAUAUAUAUAUAUAUAUAUAUAUAUAUAUAUAUAUAUAUAUAUAUAUAUAUAUAUAUAUAUAUAUAUAUAUAUAUAUAUAUAUAUAUAUAUAUAUAUAUAUAUAUAUAUAUAUAUAUAUAUAUAUAUAUAUAUAUAUAUAUAUAUAUAUAUAUAUAUAUAUAUAUAUAUAUAUAUAUAUAUAUAUAUAUAUAUAUAUAUAUAUAUAUAUAUAUAUAUAUAUAUAUAUAUAUAUAUAUAUAUAUAUAUAUAUAUAUAUAUAUAUAUAUAUAUAUAUAUAUAUAUAUAUAUAUAUAUAUAUAUAUAUAUAUAUAUAUAUAUAUAUAUAUAUAUAUAUAUAUAUAUAUAUAUAUAUAUAUAUAUAUAUAUAUAUAUAUAUAUAUAUUAUUAUUUUUGAAAAAGUGGUUAAGUUUUAAGAAAAUUUCAAAAGUUUAAUUGGAUACUUGAUAAUGUAUCUCACUCUACCAGACUGGAUAUCCUAUUUGUUGUAAAUCUUUGUCUAAAUUUAUGCAUUAGGCUACUGAAAUAUAUUUGAAAGGAGCAAAAAAGUUAUAACUUUAAUUAUGUUAUUAAUUAUUGACACAACUGAAAAGAGUCAAAUCAGAAAGAGGAAAAUUAAAUCAGAUCAAAUUUAUUUUGAUUUGAAUUGGGUUACAACACUUUUUCAAUAUCAAUAAUCGAAAAAUUCAAAUUGAAUAGUACUUUAAAAAUCAAAUGCACACCCUAGACCUUAACUGCAGUCACUCUCUUUCCCUCUCCUUCUCUCUAUUCUACCAAACCACAUUUUAUCUAAAAUUAAAAUUAACAAUUUUUUUCAAUAUUUAAAAUAUAAUCUUGAAAUUAUUCUAUUUCUAAAUUUCUAAAACGUUUUUUUUUUUUUAUCGUUUUUUAUCAUUUUGUUGUAACAACCUUCAUUCAUCAUGGAUGGAGUUGAAGGAAAUAGUGGCUAAAAAUGGAAACGAAGAAGAAGAAAUAAAUAAAAAUUAGCUAAAUCAGUCUUUCACACACAAUCAACAAGUCAACAAGUGUAUCAGACUCAUUAUGUCAUGUCAGUAAAAAGUAUCAAAAUGAUAUAUCGAAUCCGAAUUGUGACAUAUAAGUCCUAACCUAAGAUGUUUAAAAUUAACAAAUCUUAAUUAAGAUAUCUAAAUGAAAAUUAAUAUCAACAAUUUAGGUAGCCAUUAAUGAAUUCAACCUAAAAAUUAAGUUGAGUGGAUCAAAUACCAUUAUGGGCAAGAAUCUGAUCUCAAUAAUGCAUGAUAAAGUAAAUAAUAUAUAGUACUUAAUAAGUUACUAUUAUCUACAUAAUUUUCCAUUAUGGUAACAGAAAAAAGUUAUUUUUCCUCAAGUGUUUAUGAAAGUGACUUUGCAGAAUAUUAUAUAGGUGAAAAGGAUAUUAUAACAGUAGAAUAUCUAUUAAUUUCUAAUUCAAGAAAAUGACAAUUAUGACUUCACAAAAAGUUUAGGGAAAUAUUAUAAUGUCGACAAAAUUACGCUGGAUAGCACUACUCUAUUGUAGGACUUAUUUAGCCACCAUUUAAUUAAUAUAAUAAUUAGAGAAGACGGAGAUUUUGAGUUCUAAGUCACCAAAAAAUCAUACUAUAAAAAGGUAUUAAGCUUGUCAUACGUAAGAGGAUGUAUCGUGUUUCAAUUUAUUUGUUUGGCCAAAUUUUUAAAAUCAAACUUAUUUUAAGAAGUAUUUUUUUUAAUAUUGCUUUUUAAAAAAAAUUAUUUUGGCGAGAAGCCGUUUGUGUUUGACCAAUAAAUUUAGAGAACACUUUUGAGAAGCAAUUAAUGUUCGGCCAAAUAAAUAAUGUAUUUUUUUCUCAAAGACGAUAUUUUUCAAAAAAAUGCGUUUAGACAAAAGCUACUGUACUUCUUUUUAGCAAUUAAUAAUAACUUACAAUUUUUUUUAAAAAAAUACACAAAACACUGCCAACUAGGUUUGAACUCUAGGUGGCUGCUACCUACACUCUAUUCACUAUUGAAGCACUUCACCAGCGAACCAUCUGGAAAUUUGUGUUAGGUGUUAUUAUCGUAUAAUAUAUAUACAAAUUAUUUAAUUUGUAUGAUAAAUAAAUAGAUAUAUUGAUUAAAAUUUAUUGAUGAAGUAGUGUCAGAUGACACCCCUUAUCGUAAGGUGUGUCCACCCCUGCUUACCUAUGUCGAUUCAGAUUAGUUGAGCUAGUAUGAUUAAAUAUAGAAUAAUUAAACUAAGUAAUUUCCAUGUCAACUCUUGUUUUUAUAUUUGUAUACUAUCAUAUAAUAAUAAAUGCCACAUGAUUGUUUUCUAAUUUUAAAUCAGAAAAUACUAAUUUAGGAUCAAAGGCAACUAAUUAACUUUUUAAAAACAAAAAUAAAAUAAGUAAUAAUUAACAAAAAAAGACGAGUGGUUUUAAAUAAAGUUAGGGGAUCUUGGAAUUGCUUUCCAAGUGGGAGGUAAACGCGUAGAAAUUGACGUGCAUAACAUGCAAAAAAAAAUAAAGUAGGUGAGAUUUGGACUCUUAUUUUUAUAAAAAACGAAAAAACAAAAGAGAAGCUACGGACUCAUAUUUAACGACUUUGCUUUUCCAUCUUAUAUCAUAUAUAUCUGUCUAUUAGAGUCUGAUUAAUUCAAAUUCGUGUUACGUAGGAAUUUAUUUGGCGAGGAAAUCACUUUUUAUAAGGAUUUUUCUAUAAUCAGGCCUUGAACUCGAAACUCUGAUUAAGAAAAAAAAAUAGUAUUAGUUAUUGUACCGUAUUCUUUGAUAAUGAUAUUUAACCACUUGUAAAAUCAUACUUCUUCCUUUAAAGAAAUAUCCAAAAGGUACAUUGCAAUUGCAUAGCUCAGCCACUUGACUAUAUAGCGCGGGAUUCCCUUGCUUUGUUGUAUAUGUCUUUUUAUUUUUAUUUUAUUUGAAUCUAUAAUUGUGAUGAUUGAAUUUGAAUAACUUUACAUGUAUAUAUAAUUGGUUAUCGAUAAUGAGCCUAAUAAUAUUAACUUUAUAUUUAUAUUUAAUUUAAGUCGUAAGAACAAUUUACAAUUAGUUAUAAAAUGUAAUAAUACAUCAUCAAUAACAUCAAAAUAAUUGGAAAGUUUGAUCAAACCAUAAUUGUUUUUCGAAAGAGUUUUCUUAAUUUAUUGAUCAAAUAAAAAUUGUUUUUACCAAAAUUAUUUCUUUUAAAACAUUUUUCAUGAUAAGUUAAUUUUGAAAGUUUGGUCAAACAUGUUAUUGGACAAAGAUGUGUUAAUGAAUAGUGUCACGUACGAUCUCAUGAGAUUAUUUUAUCUCACAUUUUAUAUAAGAUAUAAUUCCACCAUUUUAAUAUAAAUGAUGAGAUGAAAUAAUUCCGUAAUUCGAUAAAAUCUCAAAACAAACAUGAGAUAAAGUUACCCAAAUUUUGUCCCGAAAUUAACUAACCAAUACCUCAAACCAAAUAUAAUAAAUAAAGUUCAUAUCAAAUUUUAUCUCAAAACUAUCAUUCUUAUCCCACGUACCAAUAGAAACUUUUAUGUGUGGUUAAUAUAUAUAAUACACGUAACUGAAUUUUCCUAGGGCACAACAUAUAAUUUCUAACUCUCAAUUAAGAUGAUUUAAUAUUAUUGCAUGAAUUCACACAUUGCAUUUGGUGAUGGAUUUAGCUAGUCUUUAGUAGUGGAUGAAAAUCCCAAUGUCUUCUACCUAUAUACUCCCUCCGUUCAGAUUUACUUAUCAAAUUUUAAUUUGAUAUAUUUAUUAAGAAAAUAAUUUUUGAUAUGUUGAGUUUAUUAUUUUACCUAUGUUAGUUGAUAGAGUCUCAAACAUAUUUACUUAUUACAUUUUUCAAAGACAUUAAUUAACUCAAUGUUAAUAAAUUAAAAGUAAAAAAAAAAAUUAUCUUUUUUUUUAAUUUAUCAAAAAUAACAAAUAAAAAUAAAAUUAAUUAGAAAAUAUUUGACAAGUAAAUUUGAACGGAGGAAGUAUUAUAUGUUUCAACCUAUGCCACAGAAGUACAAUAUAAAGGCCGCCAUGGUACUUUUUAUCCACCAACUUUAAAGGUGUAUGGUUGGUAAGAAAUGAGUUAUAAUAUAGUUUACUGGUUCGGUGAAUUUAGAGUUGUGGUUCAAAACAUAUGUUUAUUAUAAAAAAAAAAUAUGGAAUUAUAUUUAAUUUUAUGCAAUAAUAAUUAUGAUUGUUUUGUGCAGUUUCAUUUUAGAUUAUGAGGAACAAAUUCUCAUUUGCCACACACUUACCCUCUCACUUUAUCACUAACCGUAGAUGAAAUUGUUUUUUUUUUUAAUCAGAGAUUUCAAAUUCAAGUCCUAUAAAAAAAUAUUGAUAGGGUAGCUUCCUUUUCGAAUGGAAUUAUAUACGGUGCGAAUUUAAAAUUAUUAAAAUCUAACGUGAAUAUCAGACACGGACGGAAAGAGAAAAAAACAUUAAAACUUUCACUUUUUUACUUUUGAAAAUUUCAAGACAAUACAUCAACGUCAAUAGUUAAGACUAUUCUAAUUAAAUCGAAUAGUAUUGAGACUUUAAAGAGUUAGUUAUUGCUUUAAAUGUAUUUUUCUACCUCCACGUAGGAUAAUUUUGACUGAAAAUUCUCUUCGAUUGAAAAUAUUUAAUGCCGUAUAUCAAUUGUACUACGUUUCUAUGGUUAAGACCAUAUAAUAUUAUUCAUAUGUUAAAUUUCAAACUUAAUUAGGUAUAACGUAAUUUCAAAGGUUUACUGUAAGGACAUAAUCAAAUAGUUAUAAUUUUAUUAAAAGAAAGUUGGAAUAGGUCUGCCACUUAUAAUGUUGAAAUUUUAUGUCGUCGAAGAAAAUAAGAUCUAACUCAUUUUGCAUUUUCACAUAAAGUAAGAAAAUAAAUCUCGAGCUUAACUCAAUUUUAAAACUUGGCUUAAGAUAUAAAGAUUGUCUAAACGGUAUUAAAGAGACCGUUCAUUUCUUAAAGGGUGAAUUUAGAACUCUUCACAUAACUGAUCAUCUGGUGGGUGAUCAAUUAUUUAAUAUGAGAUUUCAAUGUUAAAAUAAAAAUCGAGAUGAGUUAUUUUAGGGCUUACUCAACCCUCAAAAUUAGUUCUAGAAAUAAAAACUAUGCAGGUCAAACAAAAAACAAUUACCCAUCUUUUAAAGAAUUGAUGUGAGACUCUUCAAAAGAAUCGAAAUCUGAGCACAUAAAAAUUUCCUAAAUCACUACAAGGAAAAUGUGAAUUACAUGGGGAUUAGUAUGAAAAUUUGCAGGAAAAUAAGUUUUCUGCAGAUUUUCAUACUAAUCCCUAGGAAAGUCCCCAUGUAAUUCACACUUUUUUUUGUAGUGAAUUAAAUGAACUUUUUUCUUUUCACAAAAUAAGAAAGUUCAUUACAUAAGGAGAAAGAAAAGAAAACACAACGGAACCCACAUUUACAGUGUAUUCGGUACGAAUGAAAAUAUUUUUUAUGAGUAAUAUUUUUUUUUAAAUAAGUAGUUUUUUAUUUAUAUUAUGUUAUUUGAUAGGUAUAUAAAAAAAUAUUAUUUUUAAAAUAUUUGUAUAUAAUCUAUGAUAAAUAAUUAAUAUAGAAGAUGGGGUAGCUAGAGGGUGGGGGUUGUGGGGAUGGGCCAAGGAUGUGGUAAAAAUACAAUCACUUGUAAAAAAGGAUUUUUCUUAUUUCUAUUAAGGAAAUCAUUUUCCUUAUUUUUAAGAAUUUUUUUUUUUUAGAAAAUAUUUUUUGACUAAUCAAAUAUGAAAAAUCCUUUAUUCUAUUUGUGUGAUAGAUCCCCACAAUGUAUACUUGUAGUAUUUAUUUUAUAAUAUAAGUAUAUUAAUGAUAUGAUCCUCUUUACUUAUUUUAUUUGUGAGAAAAUGUAUACAUGUGUAAUAACUAAAGUUGCACAUGCUUUCUACUUUUCUUCUAGAACAAUAAUAUAUUGAUUAUUUUAUUUAUUCUCUGGUGGACUAAGAUUAACGAAACCAAGGAAAAAGUCCUCAAACCACGGCUAGAGUCCUAUCAUAUAUUGGAAUGGUCCCAUUAUUAUCUUUGCCUACAAUUAUUAUUUCUGAAUUUCUACUAUAAUUUCAAGUUGAUAUAUGAAUUUAUAAUUAAGUAUUUAUAAAUAUUUAAUAAUUUUUUAAUAUAUACAUUAAGUAAAAAUAUAUUGGAAAUAACCUCUUUAUCUUCAUGAGUCAGUGAUAAGAUGCAUACAUGUACUCUAUCCUCCCAGACUUCGCUGAGUAAAUUUUACUGAAUAUGUUAUUAUUGUGUUGUUAUUGUUAUUGUUCACUGAAUAUGAAUAUAGAUAAAAAAAAAAAAAAUUAUUAGAUUUCCCUGAAUUCAUAUAUUGUACACUGACUCCGUCAUUAAAUCCCACCAUCCCAAAUAACUAUUACGUGAAAAUGACAUUCGAAAUUAACAUGCACGUAAAAAUGGGUUUGAAUAAUGCAAAUGAAGUUGAUUGGAUAACAAGAAAUUGAAGUCAUUUUUCAUUAUUUGAAAUAAAUAAAUAAAAUGAGAAAAUAUAAGCAUGCACACAAAUUAUCAAAGUUAUAUAAGAACACUUGUGAAGACACAAAUUAAUAAGUGUUUAAUUGUGAAGACAAAAAUUAAUAAGUUUUUAAUUUUUUGCCUCAACAGCUAAUAGAAUAUGCUCCGAAGGCCAGGUCCAGUUUCAUUUAUUUUAUUUUAGUUAAUAAUAGAGUGACAGCUCAAUCUACUAAUAAUUUUAAUAAAUAAUCAAAAUUAUAAUUAAUUAAUUAAUAUAUUUGUGAUUAUAAGUGAUGAGUUGAAGGCUAUAAAAGCAGCGUUUGGGGAGGGUACAUUGGCACAGCAAACAUGGCUAAAAUAGCCUAUCUUCUUACCACUCUUUUAGUGGCUUUAGUGUCACUUAGCUUCCCUUCAGAAUGCAAAGCAAAUUACUACUAUACAUCUCCACCCCCACCAACCCCAGUUUAUAAGUAUAAGUCUCCGCCACCACCAGUUUAUAAGUACAAGUCACCACCACCACCACCUCCCGUCUAUAAAUCCCCACCACCACCCGUUUACAAGUAUAAAUCUCCACCACCACCUGUCUACAAGUACAAGUCUCCUCCACCACCACCUCCAGUUUACAAAUACAAAUCUCCACCACCACCUGUCUAUAAGUACAAGUCUCCUCCACCACCACCUCCAGUUUACAAAUACAAAUCUCCACCACCACCUGUCUAUAAGUACAAGUCUCCUCCACCACCACCUCCAGUUUACAAAUACAAAUCUCCACCACCACCUGUCUAUAAGUACAAGUCUCCUCCACCACCACCUCCAGUUUAUAAGUACAAAUCUCCACCACCACCCGUAUAUAAGUAUAAGUCUCCUCCACCACCACCCCCAGUUUACAAGUACAAAUCUCCACCACCACCUGUCUAUAAAUACAAGUCUCCACCACCACCAACUCCGGUUUAUAAGUAUAAAUCUCCACCACCACCGGUCUACAAGUACAAGUCUCCACCACCACCAACUCCAGUUUACAAGUACAAAUCUCCACCACCACCUGUCUAUAAAUACAAGUCUCCACCACCACCAACUCCGGUUUAUAAGUAUAAAUCUCCACCACCACCGGUCUACAAGUACAAGUCUCCACCACCACCAACUCCAGUUUACAAGUACAAAUCUCCACCACCGCCUGUCUAUAAGUACAAAUCUCCACCACCACCAACUCCAGUUUACAAGUACAAAUCUCCACCACCACCCGUUUAUAAGUACAAGUCUCCCCCACCACCCGUCUACAAGUACAAGUCUCCACCACCACCCGUUUACAAAUACAAGUCUCCACCACCUCCAGUCUACAAGUACAAAUCUCCACCGCCACCCGUCUACAAGUACAAGUCUCCACCACCUCCAGUCUACAAGUACAAAUCUCCACCGCCACCCGUCUACAAGUACAAGUCUCCACCACCUCCAGUCUACAAGUACAAAUCUCCACCGCCACCUGUUUACAAGUACAAAUCUCCUCCACCACCUCCUCCAGUUUACAAGUACAAGUCACCACCACCACCAGUUUACAAAUACAAGUCACCACCACCACCCGUUUACAAAUACAAAUCACCCCCACCCCCAGUUCACAAGUCUCCAGCCCCUUACUAUUACACUUCUCCACCUCCUCCUAGCCACUACUAGUUUCACACUAUCGAACAAGGUAAUAU
rnacentral:lncRNA from 1 species